GAUGAACGCUGGCGGCGUGCCUAAUACAUGCAAGUCGAGCGAACGGACGAGAAGCUUGCUUCUCUGAUGUUAGCGGCGGACGGGUGAGUAACACGUGGAUAACCUACCUAUAAGACUGGGAUAACUUCGGGAAGCCGUAGCUAAUACCGGAUAAUAUUUUGAACCGCAUGGUUCAAAAGUGAAAGACGGUCUUGCUGUCACUUAUAGAUGGAUCCGCGCUGCAUUAGCUAGUUGGUAAGGUAACGGCUUACCAAGGCAACGAUGCAUAGCCGACCUGAGAGGGUGAUCGGCCACACUGGAACUGAGACACGGUCCAGACUCCUACGGGAGGCAGCAGUAGGGAAUCUUCCGCAAUGGGCGAAAGCCUGACGGAGCAACGCCGCGUGAGUGAUGAAGGUCUUCGGAUCGUAAAACUCUGUUAUUAGGGAAGAACAUAUGUGUAAGUAACUGUGCACAUCUUGGCGGUACCUAAUCAGAAAGCCACGGCUAACUACGUG
rnacentral:rRNA from 1 species